rnacentral:rRNA from 1 species
UACGUAGGUGGCAAGCGUUGUCCGGAAUUAUUGGGCGUAAAGAGCUUGUAGGCGGUUUGUCGCGUCUGCUGUGAAAUUUCGGGGCUCAACCCCGAACUUGCAGUGGGUACGGGCAGACUAGAGUGUGGUAGGGGGAGACUGGAAUUCCUGGUGUAGCGGUGAAAUGCGCAGAUAUCAGGAGGAACACCGAUGGCGAAGGCAGGUCUCUGGGCCAUAACUGACGCUGAGAAAGCGAAAGCCAGGGGGAGCAAACGGG